UACGGGGGGAGCAAGCGUUGUUCGGAUUUACUGGGCGUAAAGGGCGCGUAGGCGGCGUGACAAGUCACUUGUGAAAUCUCCGGGCUUAACCCGGAGCGGCUAAGUGAUACUGUCGUGCUAGAGUGCGGAAGGGGCUACUGGAAUUCUCGGUGUAGCGGUGAAAUGCGUAGAUAUCGAGAGGAACACCUGCGGCGAAGGCGGGUAGCUGGGCCGACACUGACGCUGAUGCGCGAAAGCCAGGGGAGCGAACGGG
rnacentral:rRNA from 1 species